GCUAUUGAUUUCCUGAUGGGUGGUGUUUCCGCUGCUGUGUCAAAGACUGCUGCUGCUCCCAUUGAGCGUGUCAAGCUCUUGAUUCAAAACCAGGAUGAGAUGCUCAAGGCUGGUAGGCUCUCUGAGCCCUACAAGGGUAUCGGUGACUGUUUCGGCAGGACAGUUAAGGAUGAGGGAUUUGGUUCUUUGUGGAGAGGAAACACAGCUAAUGUCAUCCGUUAUUUCCCCACUCAGGUUGGUUAAGUUUCACUUCAUUGGUCCUAAAAUAUGUCUACUACUAUGUGAUGCAUUGGUUACUGAUAUAUCUCUCACUUGCCAGGCAUUGAACUUUGCAUUCAAAGAUUACUUCAAGAGGCUUUUCAACUUCAAGAAAGACAGGGAUGGAUACUGGAAGUGGUUUGCCGGUAACUUGGCAUCUGGAGGUGCUGCUGGUGCCUCAUCCCUUCUCUUUGUGUACUCUCUUGACUACGCACGUACCCGUCUUGCCAAUGACUCUAAGGCCGCCAAGAAGGGAGGUGAAAGGCAGUUCAAUGGUCUUGUUGAUGUCUACAAGAAGACCCUCAAGUCGGAUGGUAUUGCUGGACUUUAC
rnacentral:lncRNA from 1 species